rnacentral:rRNA from 1 species
GGCUCAGGAUGAACGCUAGCGGCAGGCCUAAUACAUGCAAGUCGAGGGGCAGCGGGAGUAGCAAUACUUGCCGGCGACCGGCGCACGGGUGCGUAACACGUAUGUAAUCUACCCAUAACCGGAGAAUAGCUCGAAGAAAUUCGGAUUAAUACUCCAUAGUAUUUUGAGGGGGCAUCUCCUUAAAAUUAAAGUUCCGACGGUUAUGGAUGAGCAUGCGUCCGAUUAGCUAGUUGGUGAGGUAGCGGCUCACCAAGGCGACGAUCGGUAGGGGUACUGAGAGGUUACACCCCCACACUGGUACUGAGACACGGACCAGACUCCUACGGGAGGCAGCAGUAAGGAAUAUUGGACAAUGGUCGCAAGACUGAUCCAGCCAUGCCGCGUGCAGGAUGAAUGCCCUAUGGGUUGUAAACUGCUUUUGUACGGGAAUAAACCCUCCUACGUGUAGGAGGCUGAAUGUACCGUAAGAAUAAGGGUCGGCUAACUUCGUGCCAGCAGCCGCGGUAAGACGAAGGACCCAAGCGUUAUCCGGAUUCAUUGGGUUUAAAGGGUGCGUAGGCGGAUUGAUAAGUCAGUGGUGAAAUCUCCGGGCUUAACCCGGAAACUGCCAUUGAUACUGUCGAUCUUGAAUAUGGUUGAUGUGGGCGGAAUAUGACAUGUAGCGGUGAAAUGCUUAGAUAUGUCAUAGAACACCGAUUGCGAAGGCAGCUCACAAAGCCAUUAUUGACGCUGAGGCACGAAAGUGCGGGGAUCAAACAGGAUUAGAUACCCUGGUAGUCCGCACCGUAAACGUUGAUAACUCGCUGUUGGCGAUAUACAGUCAGCGGCUAAGCGAAAGCGUUAAGUUAUCCACCUGGGGAGUACGACCGCAAGGUU